AUUGCUCCUCAGCCUUUUGGCUGAGAUCAAGUGUAGUAUCUGGUCUCAAUUUAAUAUCUGACACAUCCUCUACCCAAAAACAAUAUAUUAAAUGGAUUUUUGGAGCCAGGAGAUGGAAUAGGAGCUUGCUUCACCCACUCCACACAUCGACCCAGUAUUGCAGUAUUUCUGGGAACAGCACCUCCU